rnacentral:rRNA from 1 species
AACGUAGGACGCAAGCGUUAUCCGGAGUUACUGGGCGUAAAGCGUGCGUAGGUGGUUCGUUAAGUCUGAUGUGAAAGCCCUGGGCUCAACCUGGGAAUGGCAUUGGAAACUGGCGACCUAGAGUGCGGUAGAGGGUAGUGGAAUUCCCGGUGUAGCAGUGAAAUGCGUAGAGAUCGGGAGGAACAUCCGUGGCGAAGGCGACUACCUGGACCAGCACUGACACUGAGGCACGAAAGCGUGGGGAGCAAACAGG